GGGGAUGAACGAUUCGACGAUUGUGGCACAUUGACAACUGCAAGCCGGCUUGACAGCGAGCCGUAAACUCUGUCAAAACAUAUCUGCUGAUUUAUCAGACAGAAAACAGGCACUCCGCGAGGAACUCGCAGCUUUGCGAGCGUACUUCGGAAUGUCUUCUCGCCCUGCGUUGGCAUUAGCUGCGUAAGGCAAGACGUUUGGCGAUGAUUUUUCUCGGUGAAUCGCGCCAGGCGGAAACUCAGCCGAGGCGUCAGGAAUCAACUGACCGAUUGGUUCCGGAGCAAAAAGGUCAACCCUUUUCAAGCCAUUUUGUCUAUUUUGAGGUUUGGAAAGAAUAAAAUGGACUACGCUUGUAGAUGUUGAAAAUAUGCCCUUUCGGACCCGAGCUCAUUACUCGGCAUCUCCACAG
rnacentral:tmRNA from 1 species